AUUUGACAUAUUACAUUAAAUUUUAAUUUUUACUGUUUUCAAUUCAUGUUAAUGCAUUUUAUAUAAAACCAAGUGCAAUUCUUAAACUGCUAGUAAAUUUCUACAUUCUAUUUCUGGUCAUCAAGAUGAAAUCACAUGGAGGCCACAAGAAAUCAUAUCAAGCAAAUUGUUGAGUAUCGAGUGAAAAUUGAACACGGACUCACUUCACCGGAAAUCGCUCUGCAAAUAGUUUAAAAAGUCCUUUCUACUACUGCUGCUCUGUACACUGACCCCUUCACCAGGAAUCGCUCUGAAAAUAAUUUAAAAAAUCCUUUCAACCACUGCUGCUCUGCACACUGACCCCUUCACCAGGA